rnacentral:piRNA from 1 species
CACAAUGAAAACAUUGAACAUUUUGGUUCC